rnacentral:lncRNA from 1 species
GCAUAUGGAAGUUCCCAGGCUAGGGGUCAAAUCAAAGCUACAGCCGCUGACCUACUCCACAGCCACAACAAUGCCAGAUCUGAGCCAAAUCUGCAACCUACCCCACAGCUCAAGGCAAUGCUGGAUCCUUAACCCACUGAGCAAGACUAGGGAUCAAACCCGCAUCCUCAUGGAUACUAAUUGGAUUUGUUUCCACUGAGUCACAACAGGAACUCCACACAGUUCUUGUUCUUAUAAAACUUACAUUCUAGUGUGGGGAAGCAAAGAGUACAUGCAAAAAUAUGUAUUAGGUGAUGAUGAUAUAAGGAAAAACAUACUAGGACAGGAUGUUACAGAAGGGCUAUGUAAGGAGUCCUCUUGCCAUUUAGUUGGAGACAAGAAAGAAGUGAGGAAUCGAGACAAUAUUUGGGAGGUGAACAUAGCAGAAAGAAGAAAUGAUAAGUGCAAAGAUUCUGAUGUAGGAACAUGCAUAGAAUUUGAAGUUUUUGAAGAAUAGUAGGGAUUCAAAUGAGGCUCACAAAGAGAGUAGGGGAAGAAUGGUACAAGAUGAUGUCAGACAGGUAGAAAAGUGACAGAUUGCACAGGACUUCUGUAGUUUAUGAUAAAUAGUUGGCUUAUACCCAGGGAUGGAAGUACAUUAUGGGUUUAGAACAGAGGCUGGCAAAAAUCUGACUUGUUUCUUAAAAGAUUUUUCUGGUUGCUAUGUUAAAUAUUACCUGUGGGAAGGUAAGGCUGGAAGCAAGGAGGAAGGACAAGGCUUUUGCAGGAGUCCCACAGGAGUGACCCUGGCUUAGAUUAGUGUGGUAGCAGGGGUAGUGUGAAAAUCUGAAGCUCGUCAUGGAUGUAUUUAUAAGGUAAGGCUCAUAUGAUUUACAUAACGGGUUGGAUGUGGUAUGAGAGGAAAGAGAGCACUUAAGAAUGACUUUAAGGAUUUGGGCUGAGUGUUUGGUAACUGGAGUCAUCAUUUACCAAACUGGGGAAGAUUACAGAACAAGAGCCAACUUCCCAUUUUGGUUAUGCUUAGAUUAAAAUGUUGGUCAGACACCAGGUAGAGAUGCUGUGGGAGCAGAUAGACAUGGGAAACCGGCGUUCAGGGAGAAACUGGGGGUAAAGGUAAUCUUUAAGGAAUCUCAGCAUGUAGAUGACAUUUAAAGCUGUGAAACAGGAUAAAAGACCCAGGGGAAUGAUUUUAGAAAAGAAAACAUGCCAGAAUUGAGCCAAGAGACGUUUUUGUGUGUGGAAGUCUGGAGUAUAGAGAGAAACCAGCAGUGGAGUGUUCUAACAAGCAGGCAAGUUCCUGCUGUGGUGCCUUGGGUUAAGAAUCUAACUGCAGUGGCCCUGAAACUUCCAUAUGCUGUGGGUGCAGCCAUUAUAAAAAAAGAAAAUGUAAGAUGAAGAACUCAAAAUAAUGAUUUUUUUUUCUGGCAUGAUUUUAUGGAGUUGGGGAUAAAAAUGUCUGAUUGACAUUAUUCAUAGAGUUCCCAGUACCUUUACAAUUCACCCCACAGAGAAUCAUGUAGGAUUUCUCAAGGUUCACAAAUACCUAGACCUUGAUGCUAUGCAAUUUUGCACUGACACAGUAUAAAUACUGCAGUUUCUUUGAAGUUAAGACUUACUAAGUUAGUUAUCUUUUGAGUUUCUUUAUCUGCACAACUCCAAAAACUGGCUUUAAAUUGUCUAAAUUCCUUACCCCCCAAUUAUCUUGUUAUCUUCUUCUAAGUAUAAGACAGACAGGUCCUAAAAAUGGAGAGGUUACUGUAACUGAGAAAAAUUCCAUUUUUCCCCCCUCUGAGAGAACACUACUCGGUGCAGGCAGAGUGGUUUUAAGGCACUUUAACUUUUUACCCCAUUUCCUCAUGGUACUGACAGAGAUCAAAUAUCAAAUGUUCCAGGUCAUAGAUUGGUUAUGGAAAUUCUUUAGUGAAAAUGCAUUCAUUCUUUUGAGACCAAUGAAUAUGUCAGUAAUUAGUGUGGUUUAACUGCAUAUUCCCCUCCUCUUAGUUAAAAUCAACUGUCAAGACAUUUUUGGCUUUUAUUUCACUAUGUAUGUCUAAAUCAUACUCUAUUUUUGGUAUCUUUUGCAAAAUAAAUGAAUAUAAAACACAUAAACUAUUGAACUCUAGAGGCAAAAAAUUCUCAAGUGUUCUACCAAUGUUCAUUAUAGGUCCCUUAUAAUAAGAUGUAUAAAUUAAAACUAUUCUACUUGCUUUACUCUCAUAUUAUACUCAUGCUUUUUUUUUUUUGUCUUUUUGCCUUUUCUAGGGCCACACCUACGGCAUGGCAUGUGGAUGUUCCCAGGCUAGGGGUCUAAUCAGAGCUGUAGCCACCGGCCUACACCAGA